ACGGGANUUUUUGUGUAGUAAUACAUAAAAAGUCUAGUGGCGAACGGGUGCGUAACACGUGAGCAAUCUGCCGGGAAGUGGGGGAUAGCUCGCCGAAAGGCGAAUUAAUACCGCAUGUGGCCAGAAGGGACAUCCCUUCGACGCCAAAGUCGCAAGACGCUUCCUGAUGAGCUCGCGGCCUAUCAGCUUGUUGGUGAGGUAAUGGCUCACCAAGGCUUUGACGGGUAGCUGGUCUGAGAGGACGACCAGCCACACUGGAACUGAGACACGGUCCAGACACCUACGGGUGGCAGCAGUCGAGAAUUUUUCACAAUGGGGGCAACCCUGAUGGAGCGACGCCGCGUGGAGGAUGAAGGUCUUCGGAUUGUAAACUCCUGUCAUGCGAGAACAAGAAAGUGAUAGUAUCGCAAGAGGAAGAGACGGCUAACUCUGUGCCAGCAGCCGCGGUAAUACAGAGGUCUCAAGCGUUGUUCGGAUUCAUUGGGCGUAAAGGGUGCGUAGGUGGCGUGGAAAGUUGAGUGUGAAAUCCUAGGGCUUAACCUUAGAACUGCACUCAAUACUCCCAUGCUAGAGGAAUGUAGAGGAGAGUGGAAUUCACGGUGUAGCAGUGAAAUGCGUAGAUAUCGUGAGGAAGACCAGUUGCGAAGGCGACUCUCUGGGCAUUUCCUGACACUGAGGCACGAAGGCCAGGGGAGCAAACGGGAUUAGAUACCCCGGUAGUCCUGGCAGUAAACGGUGCACAUUUGGUGUGGGCGGGUUCAGACCCCGUCCGUGCCGGAGCUAACGCGUUAAAUGUGCCGCCUGGGAAGUACGGUCGCAAGAUUAAAACUCAAAGAAAUUGACGGGGGCCCGCACAAGCGGUGGAGUAUGUGGCUUAAUUCGAUGCANCGCGAAGAANCNUUACCNGGUCUUGACAUGCAUCUCUAAGUUAGUGAAAGC
rnacentral:rRNA from 1 species